GAGAUCAUAUUAGAGUCUACCCUGGAACCUACAUCUGCCUUUGCCCUGCCAGUCUCCAUCUGGGAAGGAGGUGGGAGGAAGUGACAAAGGAAAGCUCAGGCAUUUGGAGACAGAAGGAGCCCAGCAGGACUUUGAAAGAAAAAUAUUCAGUGCUGGAACAUGCUUCUUACCAAAUAAUGUUUUCACUCUCUAGAAAACAUG
rnacentral:lncRNA from 1 species